rnacentral:rRNA from 1 species
UACGGAAGAUGCAAGCGUUAUCCGGAAUGAUUGGGCGUAAAGCGUCCGCAGGUGGCUAUGUAAGUCUGCUGUUAAAGAGUCUAGCUCAACUAGAUAAGAGCAGUGGAAACUACAAGGCUAGAGUACGUUCUGGGCAGAGGGAAUUCCUGGUGUAGCGGUGAAAUGCGCAGAUAUCAGGAAGAACACCAAUGGCGAAAGCAGCUUUCUGGGACGGUACUGACGCUGAGACGCGAAAGCGUGGGGAGCGAACAGG